rnacentral:rRNA from 1 species
GGAACUCUGACACAGGUGCUGCAUGGCUGUCGUCAGCUCGUGUCGUUGAGGAUGUUGGGUUAAGUCCCGUAACGAGCGCAAACCCUUGUCCUUAGUUACCAGCACGUUAUGGUGGGCACUCUAAGGAGACUGCCGGUGACAAACCGGAGGAAAGGUGGGGAUGACGUCAAGUCAUCAUGGCCCUUACGGCCUGGGCUACACACGUGCUACAAUGGUCGGUACAAAGGGUUGCCAAGCCGCGAGGUGGAGCUAAUCCCAUAAAACCGAUCGUAGUCCGGAUCGCAGUCUGCAACUCGACUGCGUGAAGUCGGAAUCGCUAGUAAUCGUGAAUCAGAAUGUCACGGUGAAUACGUUCCCGGGCCUU